rnacentral:rRNA from 1 species
GACGAACGCUAGCUACAGGCUUAACACAUGCAAGUCGAGGGACCGGCGCACGGGUGAGUAACACGUAUCCAACCUGCCCUUUACUCGGGGAUAGCCUUUCGAAAGAAAGAUUAAUACCCGAUAUAAAGGAUGGGGAUGCGUUCCAUUAGGUUGUUGGUGAGGUACAGGCACACCAAGCCUUCGGUGGAUAGGGGUUCUGAUGGGAAGGCCCCCCACAUUGUAACUGAGGCACGUUCCAGACUCCUACGGGGGGCAGCAGUGAGGCAUAUUGGUCACUGGGCGGUAGCCUGACCCAGCCAAGUAGAGUGAAGGGUGUAGGCUUAUUGGUCGUAAACUUCUUUUAUAUAAGAAUAUGUAUUAUAUGAAUAAGGAUCGGCUAACUCCGUGCCAGCAGCCGCGGUAAUAC